ACCUAGCUGGCUCAGUUAGUAGAGCCUGUGACUCUUAAUCUCAGGGUCAUGAGUUUGAGCCCCAUGUUAGGCA
rfam:Ailuropoda melanoleuca scaffold1567_8, whole genome shotgun sequence.